AGAGCACUGAUUGGUGCAUUUACAAUCCCUGAGCUAGACACAGAGUGCUGAUUGGUGCAUUUACAAUCCUCUAGCUAGACAUGAAAGUUCUCUAAGUCCCCACUAUAUUAGCUAGACACGGAGCACAAAGUCUGUUCUAUCAGAGACUAGGAUUGCAACCCCUGCCUUUUUUUGUUUUCCAUUUGCUUGGUAGAUCUUCCUCCAUCCCUUUGUUUUGAGCCUAUGUGUGUCUUUGCACGUGAGAUGGGUAUCCUGAAGCGCCUGCCACCACGCCCGGCUAAUUUUUUGUAUUUUUAGUAGAGACGGGGUUUCACCAUGUUGGCCUUGAACUCCUGACCUCAGGUGAUCUGCCUGCUUUGGCCUCCCAAAGUGCUGGGAUUACAGGCGUGAGACACCGCGCCUGACCCAGUCAGUGUCUUUUAAUUGGAGCAUUUAGCCCAUUUACAUUUAACGUUAAUAUUGUUAUGUGUGAAUUUGAUCCUGUCAUUAUGAUGUUAGCUGGUUAUUUUGCUC
rnacentral:lncRNA from 1 species